ACCUGCAGGUCAGGCCGGGUAAUCCACCUGAAGCUAAGCAGCUUUGGGCCUGGCCACUACUUGGAUGGGAGACCAGCUAGGGAAGCUGGGUUGCUGCUGGGA
rnacentral:rRNA from 1 species